AGAGUUUGAUCCUGGCUCAGGAUGAACGCUGGCGGCGUGCUUAACACAUGCAAGUCGAGCGAAGCACUCUGACUUCUUCGGAAAGAAGAGUGACUGAGCGGCGGACGGGUGAGUAACGCGUGGGUAACCUGCCUCAUACAGGGGGAUAACAGUUAGAAAUGACUGCUAAUACCGCAUAAGACCACAGCACCGCAUGGUGCAGGGGUAAAAACUCCGGUGGUAUGAGAUGGACCCGCGUCUGAUUAGCUAGUUGGUGAGGUAACGGCCCACCAAGGCGACGAUCAGUAGCCGACCUGAGAGGGUGACCGGCCACAUUGGGACUGAGACACGGCCCAAACUCCUACGGGAGGCAGCAGUGGGGAAUAUUGCACAAUGGGCGAAAGCCUGAUGCAGCGACGCCGCGUGAAGGAUGAAGUAUUUCGGUAUGUAAACUUCUAUCAGCAGGGAAGAAAAUGACGGUACCUGACUAAGAAGCCCCGGCUAACUACGUGCCAGCAGCCGCGGUAAUACGUAGGGGGCAAGCGUUAUCCGGAUUUACUGGGUGUAAAGGGAGCGUAGACGGCUUGGCAAGUCUGAAGUGAAAGGCAUGGGCUCAACCUGUGGACUGCUUUGGAAACUGUCAUGCUAGAGUGUCGGAGAGGUAAGCGGAAUUCCUAGUGUAGCGGUGANAUGCGUAGAUAUUAGGAGGAACACCAGUGGCGAAGGCGGCUUACUGGACGAUGACUGACGUUGAGGCUCGAAAGCGUGGGGAGCAACAGGAUUAGAUUCUUGGUAGUCCACUCCUAAACGAUGAAUAGUAGGGUCGAGGUGGCUCAGCCAUUAGUUGCCCAAGCGUAUACGAUACGUAUACCACCUGGGGAGUACGUUCGCGAGAAUGCCACUCGUAGGAACGAGCGGGGAGCCGCACAAGUGGUGGAGCAUUUGUAGUCAUUUGCAGCCAUGCUAAGCACUGUACAUGAUAUUGACAUUUCGGUGAUAGGUCAUCAAUCGGACGUUGUCUUCGGAUCAGCGGUUACAGCUGGGGCAUGUAUUUCGUCAGCUCGCGUCGUGAGAGAGUGGGGUCAGUCUCGCAAUGAGCACAACCCCGAUCACCAUUAGACAGCAUUUUGGAUGGGCAGUCUAGAGAGACUGUUCCGGGAUAACACUGGAGGAAGCUGGGGAGGAUCUCUAAUAAUCAUGCGCAUUAUGACCACGGGCUACACACGUGGUACUGUUGUGAAAACGAAGGGACACUGAGUUGUGAGUCUGUCCACAUCUCAUGAGACAAGGUAUCCAUUCGGAAUUUAGUCGUCACUGGAUCACUAAGUAGUUGGUAUGGAUAAUUCUGAGGGAUUAGAAUGUCUCGCAGGAUACGUUCACCGGGUCCAGUACACAUCGUGAGUCAGGGCGAAUUUGUGGACGAUUCAGGGCUAGUCCAUUAUUGAGGUUAUUGUGGUUGCAGUCUGGUUUG
rnacentral:rRNA from 1 species